UAUGGGAGGCUGUAGUCGUGAUCCAUCU
rnacentral:piRNA from 1 species